GUGUGUGUGUGUGUGUGUGUGUGUGUGCUUAUAUAAAGAGUGAUCAGUGCCGUGACCUGCUGUUGUAUAUUCUACACAAAACCCAACCUAAUAACCGAAACUCCCCCAGAGCAUGUGGAGAGGUGGAGAGGUGACGAUUUGGGCGACGAGCUCCGUCACGUGUAAACGUCUAAUCAUCCAGGCUUCUCCUUCCUCCAGUCCAGAUGAAAGCAGCGUAUUAUGGCGGCCCGCGCCUGUGCACCACAUGUGCUCGACAAAUGUUAUUUCUUCCAAAAUGGAUGUGUCGCUGCCUUCAAAUGAAGGCGACAGUAAUGUAAGCAGGAAUGAAUUAUUGAUGAAGGCGUGUGACACGUGUGUUCUGCCUUCGCUUCCUGAAUGAGAGAGUGCCUUCGGGGAUUUUAUUUUUCUUUUCUUUUUCCAAGUGGCAAGUAAAUUCUUGGCCUGGAUUUUCGGCGUCGAACCGUGGUGCCUGUGAUUGCAGGGUGUCUGAACCGUACACAGCCGUUAGCACUCGCCCACCAGAACGUGGACAGAACCGUCACGACCUUUAGAAGCUGGGCGUGUUGUUUUAAACCACACUAAAGCCACCGGUCUUUAUUUCUCCAAUAAUCUGUCAACGUCUCUGGUCUGGUGUGUUUGAGGCGAGGAAACCGAAUAUAUGUUUAAAGUGCUUUCCUCAGGCACUGCUGGUAGACCCUGGGUCUGAUCUGAAACGGGUCUGGAUCCUGGGUCUGAUCUGAAACGGGUCUGGGUUUGUUUUUUUAAAAACCCAUAAAUGAAAUGAUUCAUAAAUGGUCGUGAGAUUGUGUGUGAUAUAAUAAGGUGAAACCACUUUUAUCACACAGAUUGUGUCUCCGCAUCUCUCUCACUCUCUCUCUCUCUCUCUCUCUCUCUCUCUCCUCCUCCCUCCCUCACUGGGCCUGUCUUUUUUUUCUCUGUCGCUCUCCGUGCAUCUCUCGCUUUCUCUCUCUCUCUCUAUCUCUAUCUAUCUCACUCACUCACUAGGUCUGUCUUUUUUUUCUCUAUUUCUCUCCGUGCAUCUCUCUCUCUCUCACUCACUCACUCACUCGGUCUGUCUUUUUUUGUCUCUGUCUCUCCGUGCAUCUCUCUCACUCUCACUGGGCCUGUCUUUUUGUCUCUGUCUCUCCGUGCAUCUCUCUCUCUCUCUCUCUCUCGAUGUCUCUAUAUUUGUUUGUGUCUCUCUGUAUCUCUUCCUCCAUCUCUGUCUACCUCUCUCCCUGUGUCUGUCUGUCUCUGUCUCCCUGUCUUUCUCUCACCCCAUCUCUCUCUGUGUCGCUCUCUCGAUCUCUCCCCCACUCUCUGUGUCUCUCUAUCUCUUUCUCUCUCCAUCACUUCUCGCUCUCUUUUUCUCUCUCCAUCACUUCUCGCUCUCUUUUUCUCUCUCCAUCUUUCUGUCUGUCUCAACCUAUCUCCCUCCCUUUCUGUCUCUGUCUCUCUCUUUCUCUCUCUCUCUGUCUCUCUCUCUCUCUCUGUGUGUCUAAGACCCCCAGGACCCCCCCCCC
ensembl:lncRNA